UUGGACGGACCCUGGUUAUUCAUGUUAAAUUGGUUUUGGCUGUCUUUCGGUUAUUAUGGUCGCCCCCUCUUCGUCUUAUCGAUCAGUUGUGUUUCUUCAUCUGAUUCGAUUUAUCAGUCUUAAACCUUAAUCCUCUUCAUCCAUUUAAAUUGGCGUGCUCAUCUUAAAUACGUUCAGUUUAGGAACCGAUUGUUUUUCCAAAUGAAUUCAUCAGGGUUACGUUUUCCUCUGCUCUUCAAUAUCAAUCAUUUUCUUCUUCACUCUUUCUCCUGCUUUCAACGAUCUUAACCAUCGAUUCUGCUCGACCGUGAUUUUGAAGAUUUUAUUGUAAAUGGUGGAAACAUCCACUGAUAAAUUUUGGUUGCUGGAAGAUCACAGUUCUUGACUAUGCUAGCUUCUUAUGAAGACAAGUCUAAAUUCAUGCUUAAAUACCUCCGUCUUAAUCUAUAUAUCUUUUUGAUUUAAUAGAAGAUAAGGUCUUUGUUAUUGAUUUGAUUAUAAAGCAAAGAAAAAGAAAAAAGAUUUCAUGAUUCAGAAGCCUAAGAAAUAAGGGUUAAGAUUGUUGUUCAAAGAAUGUUGCUUGUAAAAUUACUUAACUGCCCUUUACUCUUUGUUUUUAUAGUUUUCAAGUGUUGGGUUUUCUAAUU